CCUACGGGUGGCAGCAGUGAGGAAUAUUGGUCAAUGGACGAGAGUCUGAACCAGCCAAGUAGCGUGAAGGAUGACUGCCCUAUGGGUUGUAAACUUCUUUUAUAUGGGAAUAAAAUGUUCCACGUGUGGGAUUUUGUAUGUACCAUAUGAAUAAGGAUCGGCUAACUCCGUGCCAGCAGCCGCGGUAAUACGGAGGAUCCGAGCGUUAUCCGGAUUUAUUGGGUUUAAAGGGAGCGUAGAUGGGUUGUUAAGUCAGUUGUGAAAGUUUGCGGCUCAACCGUAAAAUUGCAAUUGAUACUGGCAGUCUUGAGUACAGUUGAGGUAGGCGGAAUGCGUGGUGUAGCGGUGAAAUGCUUAGAUAUCACGAAGAACUCCGAUUGCGAAGGCAGUUCACUGGACUGCAACUGACACUGAGGCUCGAAAGUGUGGGUAUCAAACAGGAUUAGAUACCCGUGUAGUC
rnacentral:rRNA from 1 species